rnacentral:rRNA from 1 species
GCACUGAAAGAUGAUAAUUCUGUCUUUAUUAAUAUAUUUGUGAAUGUACUUUUAAGUCCAUCUUUUAAUAGAUUUUAAAUCUAAUAGCCGAACAAAAUUAUUAUUGUAACUCGCCUUACAUUCUUACUUAUUGGCUGCACUUUGAUUUGUAAUAUUCCUAUAGUGGGAAUAGAAUUUACCUUUAGGUAAAUCCUAGACAACGGUAUACAAGCUAUGAAAGUAAGUAACGAUUACUUGGUGGUUGUCAAUUACAUGGUAAGUUCCCCUAAAAUACUUCUUUCAGCCGCCAUAAUAUUUAAGUUUGGACCAUCUAAAUAGUUGUAAUCCUUGUUUGGUUAGUUUAAUCUCCUUAUAACUGGGUAUCUAAUCCAGGUUUAUGUUUAAGAAUUUAGUAUUAUUACUAAUAGAUGUUAGACUUAGAAAUUAGUAGCAUUUCACCACAUAGUAACUUUUUCUGUACAUAUAUAAACAAAACAAAUACUAUAAAUUUAUCUAUUAGGUAUGACCGCGGUUGCUGGCACCUAAUACACCAAGAUUACACAGAUAACUAAAUUUAAAUUUCCUUAAUUUAUUAAAACUUUUAACUGAGAAGUUUAUUUAUAGCUCAUAUUAAAUCAGACUGCACACUUACAGUACCAUCAUAUUAAAGUGGUAAGACUCUAAGGGGGAAUUUAUACCAUUUUAGA